AAGCUUCAGCAGCACACAUACUAAAACUGGAACAAUACAGAGAAGAUUAGCAUGGCCCCUGAGCAAAGAUGUCAUGAAAAUUUGUAAAGGAUUCCUCAAAAUCUU